UGGGCUGAGAAACCACACUCUGGGCUCCAAGAAAAGUUCCCCUGAGACACUGUCCUGGCGCUGCCAGCUCAUAGGCGAGAGACAGCCACCAAAGUCAGGGGCUCAGGAACAGUACAAAAAAAUCACAAGCUAUCCCAGACGGUGCACAUCACGGGCCAGGCCAAAAUCUGCAACCUUCAUCACGUUGUCCUCAGUCACCAACACGUUUCUGGCAGCCAAGUCUCUGUGAACGCACUGAGGAGGCGUGAAAGGAACCUGGCUACGCUGACACCUCCCUCGCCUAAGCAGGCUGGACACCCACUCUUCCACGCUGACAGACCCUACCCGGCCUGGGCCCCAGCUCUGCUCACCUUCCGAGAAGCCAGGUGCUCCAUACCUCGGGCCACCUGACAGGCACAGGACACGAGAUCUUUGCGGCAUUUUCACAGCCACGGUGAUGGGCUCGGCAGUGUUGUCCAGGUGAAGGCCAACAGCCUCUGCCUUAAAAACCUGGCCAAAGCAGCCUUCUCCUAGAGAAUGACCAAGUGUCAGCCUGUCCGAAGAAGCAGAGGCCGUGAGUAUGUGGCCAGGACCCCCAGCCCUCAUGGCCCUGUGCCACUGCAUCCAUAGCUGGCAAUGGGCUUUUAAAAAUAUUUAUUUAUUAUGUAUACAAUAUUCUGUCUGUGUGUAU